rnacentral:rRNA from 1 species
CCCGCUGAACUUAAGCAUAUCAAUAAGCGGAGGAAAAGAAACUAACAAGGAUUCCCCUAGUAACGGCGAGUGAAGCGGGAAGAGCUCAAGCUUAAAAUCUCCGUGCAAGUUUUGCGCGGCGAAUUGUAGUCUAUAGAGGCGUGGUCAGCGUGGGCGCUUGGGGCAAGUUCCUUGGAAGAGGACAGCAUGGAGGGUGAUACUCCCGUUCAUCCCUGAGUUGCUCGUGCGUACGACCCGUUUUCUUUGAGUCGCGUUGUUUGGGAAUGCAGCGCAAAGUAGGUGGUAAAUUCCAUCUAAAGCUAAAUAUUGGUGCGAGACCGAUAGCGAACAAGUACCGUGAGGGAAAGAUGAAAAGAACUUUGAAAAGAGAGUUAAAGAGUACCUGAAACUGCUGAAAGGGAACCGAAUCGUUUCCAGUGUCUAUAAUCCGUGGCAUAUUUCAUUGGCGAGCGUGUGCGUGCGUGUACUGUGGCAGUGGCUUUUUUGGCUGCGCUCGGUGUGUGUGCUGUGUGUGCUUGCUGGUGCCCUGUGCUGCGGUGGGACGUCAAGGUCAGUUCGUAUGCUGCGGGAAAUGGCUGCCGAGGAGGUAGGGCUUACGCUUGCGUUUGUCUGUUAUAUCUUGGUGGACGAGUAGUCGCGGUUGGGACUGAGGUGCCUACAACGUGCUUUUGAGUGUGUCUGUGUCUCCGUGUGCGCCGUGUGCGGAUAGCUUGCUAUGCGUGUGUGGUUGUGUGUGGAUUGAUGCGGGCUUUAACUUGUUGCCGUUCGGGACGUUGACGAAAUGGAGCGAUCCGACCCGUCUUGAAACACGGACCAAGGAGUCUAACAUGUGUGCAAGUGUUAGGGUGUGGAAACCCCAGCGCGAAAUGAAAGUGAAGGGCAGCGCAAGUUGUCUGAGGUAGGAAACGUUGUGGGCUUCGGUCUGCGGCGUGGCACUAUCGACCGAUCAUGAACCUUCGUGGUGAAAGAUUUGAGUUUGAGCACAUAUGUUGGUACCCGAAAGAUGGUGAACUAUGCCUGAGUAGGGUGAAGCCAGGGGAAACUCUGGUGGAAGCUCGUAGCGAUUCUGACGUGCAAAUCGAUCGUCAAACUUGGGUAUAGGGGCGAAAGACUAAUCGAACCAUCUAGUAGCUGGUUCCCUCCGAAAUUUCCCUCAGGAUAGCAGCAACUUAUUUACGAUAGUUUUAUGAGGUAAAGCGAAUGAUUAGAGGAUUCGGGGAAGAAACUUCCUCGACCUAUUCUCAAACUUUAAAUCUGUAAGACCUGCAGGUUUCUUAAUUGAACUUGUGGAUGUGAAUAUCAAGUUGCUAGUGGGCCAUACGGGGUAAGCUCGUCUGGCG